rnacentral:rRNA from 1 species
UACGUAGGUGGCAAGCGUUAUCCGGAUUUAUUGGGCGUAAAGAGAACGCAGGCGGUCUUUUAAGUCUGAUGUGAAAGCCUUCGGCUUAACCGGAGUAGUGCAUUGGAAACUGGGAGACUUGAGUGCAGAAGAGGAGAGUGGAACUCCAUGUGUAGCGGUGAAAUGCGUAGAUAUAUGGAAGAACACCAGUGGCGAAAGCGGCUCUCUGGUCUGUAACUGACGCUGAGGUUCGAAAGCGUGGGUGGCAAACAGG